rnacentral:rRNA from 1 species
GACGAACGCUGGCGGCGUGCUUAACACAUGCAAGUCGAACGGAAAGGCCCUGCUUUUGUUGGGUGCUCGAGUGGCGAACGGGUGAGUAACACGUGAGUAACCUGCCCUGGACGUUGGGAUAACUUCAGGAAACUGGGGCUAAUACCGACUAGGAGCUCCUGCUGCAUGGGGGGGGUUGGAAAGCGUCGGCUGUUGGGGAUGGACUGGUGGGGUACUAGCUUGUUGGUGGGGGAGUGGCUUACCAAGGCUUUGAUGGGUAGACGGCCUGAGAGGGUGACCGACGACAUUGGGACUGAGGUACGGCCGAGGCUCGUACGGGAGGCAGAAGUGGGGAAUCUUGAACCAUGGGUGGAAGCCUGAUGAAGCAACGCCGCGUGCGGGAAGACGGCCUUCGGGUUGUAGACAGCCUUUGCCUGUGACGCCGGGGGAGAUACGGGAAUGGGUAGAGAAGGCACCGCCAAAUUACGG